rnacentral:rRNA from 1 species
UACGAAGGGUGCAAGCGUUACUCGGAAUUACUGGGCGUAAAGCGUGCGUAGGUGGUGAGUUAAGUCUGUCGUGAAAGCCCCGGGCUCAACCUGGGAAUGGCGAUGGAUACUGGCUCGCUAGAGUGCGGUAGAGGAGAGUGGAAUUCCCGGUGUAGCAGUGAAAUGCGUAGAGAUCGGGAGGAACAUCAGUUGCGAAGGCGGCUCUCUGGACCAGCACUGACACUGAGGCACGAAAGCGUGGGGAGCGAACGGG